rnacentral:lncRNA from 1 species
UAAACCUCCCUCAAAGGGACGAAGUGACUCGACUGAAAGGAGAAGGAUGAAGUGAGCAGAACUCUUUUUCAAAGAACUGGCGAUAUUCCCUUAACUGCAGAUUCAAUAGCACCGAUUAUGAACCCGGAAAGAGAAGAGCACUGUCUACUCAGACUGUCACACCGGCAAGGACUUUCACUUUCUAAAUAGAAAGGAAGAGGUCAGGCCCACCUUUCACAAGAGUAGAAGCUGGUACUCAACACUUGUAGUCUAUUCCCCAUUAUUUAUCUUUCUCAUUAUUAGAAAUAUCAUAAGAGAAGAAAGAAGAUCAUGUAGGUCGGAUCCUAGCGUAGAUAAUUGAUAUCCGACUUGAAUGAUCGAAUCGAUUCUUUCACUUUGUCGAGCUCGAAAUGGAGGCUCUCUUUACCAAGAGGAGAAGAAAAGGUAUUUUGGCAAU